CCCCUAACAAAAGCACAGUCUGAGAGAUAGAAGAGGCAUAUUACUGGACCUUAGAGUGGCCAGGUUUAAUGCUUAGAAUAGAAAUAAGAAGUAGCAGGACUAUGCCAACAGUAACAAGGACAGAUUAUCCAGACAAAUACAAAUUACAUAUGAGCAAAACGAAGGUCAGGACAAGUCUUGUCAAAAACUAAAAACAAUUUCGUUCAGGACUAGUC